rnacentral:rRNA from 1 species
AGAGUUUGAUCCUGGCUCAGGAUGAACGCUAGCUACAGGCUUAACACAUGCAAGUCGAGGGGCAGCAUGUUGGUUGCUUGCAACCAACGAUGGCGACCGGCGCACGGGUGAGUAACGCGUAUCCAACCUGCCCAUCACUUGGGGAUAACCUUGCGAAAGUAAGACUAAUACCCAAUGACGUCUCUAGAAGACAUCUGAAAGAGAUUAAAGAUUUAUCGGUGAUGGAUGGGGAUGCGUCUGAUUAGCUUGUUGGCGGGGUAACGGCCACCAAGGCGACGAUCAGUAGGGGUUCUGAGAGGAAGGUCCCCANAUUGGAACUGAGACACGGUCCAAACUCCUACGGGAGGCA